GCCAGUGUGGUGCAGUGGUUUGAGCAUUGGACUAUGAAUCUGGAAACUAGGGUUUGAGUCUCUGCUUGGCCA